GUCCACGCCGUAAACGAUGGAUGCUAGAUGUCGCGGGUAUUGACCCCUGCGGCGUCGCAGAUAACUCAUUAAGCAUCCCGCCUGGGGAGUACGGCCGCAAGGCUAAAACUCAAAGGAAUUGACGGGGGCCCGCACAAGCGGUGGAGCAUGUGGUUCAAUUCGACGCAACGCGCAGAACCUUACCUGGGUUAAAUCCACCGGAAUUCUGUAGAGAUAUGGAAGUGCCCGCAAGGGAGCCGGUGAGAAGGUGCUGCAUGGCUGUCGU
rnacentral:rRNA from 1 species